UACGUAGGGGGCUAGCGUUGUCCGGAUUUAUUGGGCGUAAAGAGCGUGUAGGCGGCCAAGUAGGUCCGGUGUGAAAACUCGAGGCUCAACCUCGAGAUGUCGAUGGAAACCGUCUGGCUAGAGUCCGGAAGAGGAGUGUGGAAUUCCUGGUGUAGCGGUGAAAUGCGCAGAUAUCAGGAAGAACACCUAUGGCGAAGGCAGCACUCUGGGACGGUACUGACGCUGAGACGCGAAAGCGUGGGGAGCGAACAGG
rnacentral:rRNA from 1 species